UACGUAGGUGACUAGCGUUGUCCGGAUUUACUGGGCGUAAAGAGCGCGCAGGCGGUCGUUCAAGUCGAGUGUGAAAGCCCCCGGCUCAACUGGGGAGGGUCAUUCGAUACUGAUCGACUCGAAGGCAGGAGAGGGAAGCGGAAUUCCCGGUGUAGUGGUGAAAUGCGUAGAGAUCCGGAGGAACACCAGUGGCGAAGCGGCCGCCUG
rnacentral:rRNA from 1 species